UGUAGUGUAAAUUGAUGUUAUAGAAUGGAAAGAUCAUAACAAGUAUACCUUAUUCUUGGGUUUGGUACAACAAUCAGGGGGAUCUACCAGAACCACUCUAGUAUGAUUGGCAUGCUUUUCCUUUGAUUCCAGGGUAGGUCCAAAUCGAGCCCCGACACCAACAUACUCGUUGGCUUCUACACCGUUGAUCCAAGGCGGGACCUUUACCGACCGGAGCCGACAAGGGCUCGCAGCCCGCCAUUCUUCUGGAGCCUCGCCGACGCUUGGUCUUGGGAACGUGCGUUCGCCGCCGCCGACUUGCUCUCCUCACCAAUUCUGUUUGCUCUGCAAUUUCACAUCUAGUGAGUGCCCACAAACAUAGAGUUAUUAGCACAUCAUCAUUCACAGCAAAAGAACAACAUCAGGAGAAGAAAAACAAGUGAAGCUAAACCAUCCUUCUGUACAUGUGUAAUAUAUAUGCUGUACUAAUCAAUUUUGUAAAAUUGGAGCUGCACUGACUACAAUUUUUAUGAAACUGUAGUCAGCUAAUCAACUAAAGCAUUUUGUACCCUGGAGUAACUAUUUUUUGUGUACACACUCCAACACCACUUUUUGGAAACUAGCUUCAGUUGUUUUGGAAACCAGCUCUAUCUUCAAGAACCUGCAUCAACUACUUUCUGAACACUUCUGCUAAGUUCUACUUAGUUACCCUGUUAAAAGUUGUAUUCCUGAAUGAAUUACCUUUCUAGCAUUCAAUCAUUUUGAAGGACAACCUUUUUCUUUUUUUUUUACUUCUGGUAUGCCUGAAUGAAUACUUUUUAGCAUUUUCCAUGAACU